rnacentral:rRNA from 1 species
GUAGGGAAUAUUGGACAAUGGGCGAAAGCCUGAUCCAGCAAUGUCGCGUGAGUGAUGAAGGCCUUAGGGUUGUAAACCUCUUUUGUACGGGAAGAAGGAAGUGACGGUACUGUACGAAUAAGUCCCGGCUAACUACGUGCCAGCAGCCGCGGUAAUACGUAGGGGACGAGCGUUGUCCGGAAUUACUGGGCGUAAAGGGCGCGCAGGCUGUGCUGCAAGUCAGCUGUGAAAUGUCUGGGCUUAACCCGGGCAUGCGGUUGAGACUGCAGUGCUGGAGUGCUGUAGAGGCAAGUGGAAUUCCCAGUGUAGCGGUGAAAUGCGUAGAUAUUGGGAAGAACACCGGUGGCGAAGGCGACUUGCUGGGCAGCAACUGACGCUGAGGCGCGAAAGCCAGGGGAGCAAACGGGAUUAGAAACCCCGGUAGUCC